rnacentral:lncRNA from 1 species
AAGAGAGUUACAGUAAGACUGAGGCAGAGGGGAGGGUGUUCACAAAACUAGGUGUUCAACUGGAGUGCCUUUGUGUUGAGCGUCCGUCAGGAUUUCCAGAAAAGGAAGAGAAUUGUUAUCAAUACCUGAAUAGCCCCGCUAGUGUCCACGUCUUUUCUCUCAGCAGAGCCCGUGAAAAUGUAUUUGUCAAUUGGGGGAUGGCCUUGGUUGCCUCAGUCCUCACAAUUCCCAGGAAUUUCACAGACAUUUCAAUUUUAACUGGAAAUGUCUGCCAGCCUCCGUUUGUCUUCCAGCGCUUCUCCCUCUGAGUGAUAAUCAGUGAUAAUCUUGCCCUCAGUGCAGUGCUGUGCUCUCACUUGCUCUAAUGGUUUUCAAGUUGAAGUCCUACCUUAUUGGAUUGCAGCCAUAUGCCUGAGAAUUCAAAUUUCUCCAUGUUAAAACAGUGCAUAUAAGGCCAAUGUGCAUUCCACAAGAUUGCAAAUUGUAUGCGGCUGGACUCCAAAUCUGAUAUGGAAAAAAAAUGUAUCUGCCACGAAGGUAACAUCAUACCAGUCCUUGUUGGCCUAUUCCAUUUCCUGGAGAGUCUCCACUGUAUCGAGUACGGCUGGAUCAAUCAGAGGAAUCAACUUGUCUAACCCUUGAUAGUCUAGUAUUCACCUCUAAACACUGCCAUCUGUAAGUACUGGCCACACUGGACAAGUAAAAGGGCAAUAAAGGAAUCAAAACUCCCAUCUCAACCAUUUCUUAAUGAGAGCAACAAUUUCUUGUUUCCCUCCCGGAAUAAUUUAUUGUGUCACGUUUAUUACUAAGGAAGUCUUGGUUCUA